GGGGUUGUGGCUCAGCGGUAGAGCCCUUGCCUAGCACAUGCAAGACCCUGGGUUCAAUCCUCAGCACCACA
rnacentral:tRNA from 1 species